UUCCCUUUUGUCCAUAAAUAUCUGCUUCAUUAUUCUCAAGUAACUAAAAAAAAACCCUAAUGGUGGCUCAAAGGCCAAUCCCAUCGCCCCUCACUCUCUCUGACCUUUGAAGCUCACUCCAGCGGCAGAGCAUCCCUCUCACUCUCUCACUCGCAAAAUAUAUUCAGAGAACUUCAAUCCCUCAGAUCUUGGCCAGUUUUUUCGUUCAUGGAAGCACAAAAAUGGAGGUACUCGCAAACGGAACCGGAUCGCAAGGGCCGAAACCAGAUCAAGCUGGGGAUUCUCAGAGCAAUGAGGCAGGAGUGGUAGAAGGUAGGCCUAAGAAAAGGGAUCAUAUUGUGAGCCUUACUCUCUUUUGUUUAAUUCUUUAUCUCUUGAUUCUUUUAUUUUUUUUCUUUUCUGUGUCUGUUAGGGUAAAUAAUGGUGUUGUGGUUUCUACAUGAUGUCCAUGUUGUUUUUAUAGGUAUCAUAAAUAUAUUUUUUUUUUUUAUUUUCGGUUGCUCUGGAUCUUUGGAUAGAAAAGAUUUGAGAGUCAAAUUUAGCUUUGUGCCUUUUUUUAUUUUUAUUUUUUCAUAUUAAAAUUAUUUGUUGUUAGU